GCACCGGUGGUGUAUGGACACGCGUCAAAAUAAUUCGGCUAGAGCAAUAUCGAUGACGAGUUCGAGGUUCGAUUCCUCGCCGGUGCC